GUGUGUGUGUGUGUGCGUGUGUGUGUGUGAUAUCAAUGUCUUCAUGCAUCCUGACGCUGGUGAAAAUGAUCCUCAUGCCGAUUCACAACCUUUAAUUGCAAUGAAACCACAACAGAAGCAAUCGAUGAGAGCCGGCUAACUAUAUCAGAUGCUUUUCCUCUGGGACGUGACAGAUGAGCCAGAGGAGGCCGGAGUGGCUGAUUGAUCGUGGGAAGUCUUGUGCAUUCAUCUCUGUCGCUGCCGUUCGGCCGAUGGCCGCCUCUAAACCGCACUCUCUCUCUCCAGUGCUGGGCUAAGAGGUCUUCUGGCAAAUCUAAACACUGUUUGAAACAUCACUGAGAUCUCUUCUGAACCUAGGGGCUUUUCAGCAGAAAAACAUCUGAGAAGAAAAUU